UACGAAGGGGGCUAGCGUUGUUCGGAAUUACUGGGCGUAAAGCGCACGUAGGCGGAUAUUUAAGUCAGGGGUGAAAUCCCAGAGCUCAACUCUGGAACUGCCUUUGAUACUGGGUAUCUUGAGUAUGGAAGAGGUAAGUGGAAUUCCGAGUGUAGAGGUGAAAUUCGUAGAUAUUCGGAGGAACACCAGUGGCGAAGGCGGCUUACUGGUCCAUUACUGACGCUGAGGUGCGAAAGCGUGGGGGAGCAAACAGG
rnacentral:rRNA from 1 species